AGUGAGCGCUGGCGGUAGGCCUAACACAUGCAAGUCGAGCGGCAGCACAGUAAGAGCUUGCUCUUACGGGUGGCGAGUGGCGGACGGGUGAGGAAUACAUCGGAAUCUACUUUUUCGUGGGGGAUAACGUAGGGAAACUUACGCUAAUACCGCAUACGACCUACGGGUGAAAGCAGGGGAUCUUCGGACCUUGCGCGAUUGAAUGAGCCGAUGUCGGAUUAGCUAGUUGGCGGGGUAAAGGCCCACCAAGGCGACGAUCCGUAGCUGGUCUGAGAGGAUGAUCAGCCACACUGGAACUGAGACACGGUCCAGACUCCUACGGGAGGCAGCAGUGGGGAAUAUUGGACAAUGGGCGCAAGCCUGAUCCAGCCAUACCGCGUGGGUGAAGAAGGCCUUCGGGUUGUAAAGCCCUUUUGUUGGGAAAGAAAAGCAGCAGGUUAAUACCCCGCUGUUCUGACGGUACCCAAAGAAUAAGCACCGGCUAACUUCGUG
rnacentral:rRNA from 1 species